rnacentral:rRNA from 1 species
UACAGAGGGUGCAAGCGUUAAUCGGAAUUACUGGGCGUAAAGCGCGCGUAGGUGGUUCGUUAAGUUGGAUGUGAAAGCCCCGGGCUCAACCUGGGAACUGCAUUCAAAACUGACGAGCUAGAGUAUGGUAGAGGGUGGUGGAAUUUCCUGUGUAGCGGUGAAAUGCGUAGAUAUAGGAAGGAACACCAGUGGCGAAGGCGACCACCUGGACUGAUACUGACACUGAGGUGCGAAAGCGUGGGGAGCAAACGGG